GGGUUUUUGGUUGAUCUAGAUAGCAGGAUUGUGGUCAUAAAUGUCAGAAGCCGUUAAUUAACGUGUGAAAACUCAUCUACUGAAUCAACCAGCCCUGAAAAUUGAUGG
rnacentral:ncRNA from 1 species